rnacentral:rRNA from 1 species
UACGGGGGGAGCAAGCGUUGUUCGGAUUUACUGGGCGUAAAGGGCGCGUAGGCGGCCACCGCAAGUCAAUUGUGAAAUCUCCGGGCUUAACUCGGAAAGGUCAACUGAUACUGCGGGGCUAGAGUGCGGAAGGGGCAACUGGAAUUCUCGGUGUGGCGGUGAAAUGCGUAGAUAUCGAGAGGAACACCUGCGGCGAAGGCGGGUUGCUGGGCCGACACUGACGCUGAUGCGCGAAAGCCAGGGGAGCGAACGGG